rnacentral:rRNA from 1 species
UGAAGAAGGCCUUCGGGUUGUAAAGCUCUUUUGUCCGGGAAGAAACGGUUUCUCCUAAUACGGGGAGCUAAUGACGGUACCGGAAGAAUAAGCACCGGCUAACUACGUGC